CCUACGGGUGGCAGCAGUGGGGAAUAUUGCACAAUGGGCGCAAGCCUGAUGCAGCCAUGCCGCGUGUGUGAAGAAGGCCUUCGGGUUGUAAAGCACUUUCAGCGGGGAGGAAGGCGUUAAGGUUAAUAACCUUGGCGAUUGACGUUACCCGCAGAAGAAGCACCGGCUAACUCCGUGCCAGCAGCCGCGGUAAUACGGAGGGUGCAAGCGUUAAUCGGAAUUACUGGGCGUAAAGCGCACGCAGGCGAUCUGUCAAGUCGGAUGUGAAAUCCCCGGGCUCAACCUGGGAACUGCAUUCGAAACUGGCAGGCUAGAGUCUUGUAGAGGGGGGUAGAAUUCCAGGUGUAGCGGUGAAAUGCGUAGAGAUCUGGAGGAAUACCGGUGGCGAAGGCGGCCCCCUGGACAAAGACUGACGCUCAGGUGCGAAAGCGUGGGGAGCAAACAGGAUUAGAUACCCCGGUAGUC
rnacentral:rRNA from 1 species